rnacentral:rRNA from 1 species
AUUGAACGCUGGCGGCAGGCCUAACACAUGCAAGUCGAGCGAGCGGCGGACGGGUGAGAAAUGUCUGGGAAACUGCCACAUGGGGCGGGAUAACUACAGGAAACGGUAGCUAAUACCGCAUACAAUCAGACGUGAGCAGAUGGGAUUAGCUAGUAGGUGGGGUAAUGGCUAACCUAGGCGACGAUCCCUAGCUGGUGUGAGAGGAUGACCAGCCACACUGUAACGUAGACACGGUCCGGACUCCGACGGGAGGCAGCAGGGGGGAAUAUUGAACAAUGGGCGCAAGCCUGAUGCAGCCAUGCCGGGUGUGUGAAGAAGGCCUUCGGGUUGUAAAGCACUUUCAGCGGGGAGGCGUUACCCACAGAAGAAGCACCGGCUAACUCCGUGCCAGCAGCCGCGGUAAUAC